UUUGCUCGAUCGGUAUGGGCCAUUGUCCAAAUAGCUUCGAAUCUAUACCCUCCACGUAGUGCACGUAAUAUGUUCGGCAACUGGUUGAGGGGAAUAGAUAAACAAUUUUCUAAACACAUUCUUGUGGGGGCGGCUGACUUAUGUUGGGCACUCUGGCUCACUAGGAAUGAUAUUAUUUUUAACCAUAAAUGUGUUUCUUCUCCUAUGCAGGUUAUUCAUAUAUGCUCGUGAUGGUUCCGUAUGUGGUCUAUCUUGUAG
rnacentral:rRNA from 1 species